rnacentral:rRNA from 4 species
AGAGUUUGAUCCUGGCUCAGGACGAACGCUGGCGGCGUGCCUAAUACAUGCAAGUCGAGCGAGCGGAACUAACAGAUUUACUUCGGUAAUGACGUUAGGAAAGCGAGCGGCGGAUGGGUGAGUAACACGUGGGGAACCUGCCCCAUAGUCUGGGAUACCACUUGGAAACAGGUGCUAAUACCGGAUAAGAAAGCAGAUCGCAUGAUCAGCUUUUAAAAGGCGGCGUAAGCUGUCGCUAUGGGAUGGCCCCGCGGUGCAUUAGCUAGUUGGUAAGGUAAAGGCUUACCAAGGCGAUGAUGCAUAGCCGAGUUGAGAGACUGAUCGGCCACAUUGGGACUGAGACACGGCCCAAACUCCUACGGGAGGCAGCAGUAGGGAAUCUUCCACAAUGGACGCAAGUCUGAUGGAGCAACGCCGCGUGAGUGAAGAAGGUUUUCGGAUCGUAAAGCUCUGUUGUUGGUGAAGAAGGAUAGAGGUAGUAACUGGCCUUUAUUUGACGGUAAUCAACCAGAAAGUCACGGCUAACUACGUGCCAGCAGCCGCGGUAAUACGUAGGUGGCAAGCGUUGUCCGGAUUUAUUGGGCGUAAAGCGAGCGCAGGCGGAAGAAUAAGUCUGAUGUGAAAGCCCUCGGCUUAACCGAGGAACUGCAUCGGAAACUGUUUUUCUUGAGUGCAGAAGAGGAGAGUGGAACUCCAUGUGUAGCGGUGGAAUGCGUAGAUAUAUGGAAGAACACCAGUGGCGAAGGCGGCUCUCUGGUCUGCAACUGACGCUGAGGCUCGAAAGCAUGGGUAGCGAACAGGAUUAGAUACCCUGGUAGUCCAUGCCGUAAACGAUGAGUGCUAAGUGUUGGGAGGUUUCCGCCUCUCAGUGCUGCAGCUAACGCAUUAAGCACUCCGCCUGGGGAGUACGACCGCAAGGUUGAAACUCAAAGGAAUUGACGGGGGCCCGCACAAGCGGUGGAGCAUGUGGUUUAAUUCGAAGCAACGCGAAGAACCUUACCAGGUCUUGACAUCUAGUGCCAUUUGUAGAGAUACAAAGUUCCCUUCGGGGACGCUAAGACAGGUGGUGCAUGGCUGUCGUCAGCUCGUGUCGUGAGAUGUUGGGUUAAGUCCCGCAACGAGCGCAACCCUUGUUAUUAGUUGCCAGCAUUAAGUUGGGCACUCUAAUGAGACUGCCGGUGACAAACCGGAGGAAGGUGGGGAUGACGUCAAGUCAUCAUGCCCCUUAUGACCUGGGCUACACACGUGCUACAAUGGGCAGUACAACGAGAAGCGAGCCUGCGAAGGCAAGCGAAUCUCUGAAAGCUGUUCUCAGUUCGGACUGCAGUCUGCAACUCGACUGCACGAAGCUGGAAUCGCUAGUAAUCGCGGAUCAGCACGCCGCGGUGAAUACGUUCCCGGGCCUUGUACACACCGCCCGUCACACCAUGGGAGUCUGCAAUGCCCAAAGCCGGUGGCCUAACCUUCGGGAAGGAGCCGUCUAAGGCAGGGCAGAUGACUGGGGUGAAGUCGUAACAAGGUAGCCGUAGGAGAACCUGCGGCUGGAUCACCU